CCAGACUCCUACGGGAGGCAGCAGUGGGGAAUAUUGCACAAUGGGGGAAACCCUGAUGCAGCGACGCCGCGUGGGUGAAGAAGUAUUUCGGUAUGUAAAGCUCUAUCAGCAGGGAAGAAAAUGACGGUACCUGACUAAGAAGCCCCGGCUAACUACGUGCCAGCAGCCGCGGUAAUACGUAGGGGGCAAGCGUUAUCCGGAUUUACUGGGUGUAAAGGGAGCGUAGACGGCAUGGCAAGUCAGAUGUGAAAGCCCGGGGCUCAACCCCGGGACUGCAUUUGAAACUGUCAGGCUGGAGUGCAGGAGAGGUAAGUGGAAUUCCUAGUGUAGCGGUGAAAUGCGUAGAUAUUAGGAGGAACACCAGCGGCGAAGGCGGCCUGCUGGACGAUGACUGACGUUGAGGCUCGAAAGCGUGGGGAGCAAACAGGAUUAGAUACCCCAGUAUA
rnacentral:rRNA from 1 species